rnacentral:rRNA from 1 species
GAUGAACGCUGGCGGCGUGCUUAACACAUGCAAGUCGAACGGAAAGACCCUGCUCUUGUGGGGUGCUCGAGUGGCGAACGGGUGAGUAACACGCGAGUAACCUGCCCUUGUCUUUGGGAUAUCUUUAGGAAACUGGGGCUCAUACAGGAUAGGAGCUCUUGCUGCGUGGUGGGGGUUGGUAAGAUACGGCGGUUGGGGAUGGAUUCGCGGCUUAUCAGCUUGUUGGUGGGGUAGUGGCAUACAAAGGCUUUGACGGGUAGCCGGCCUGAGAGGGUGGCCGGCGACAUUGGGACUAAGAGACGGCCCAGACGCCUACGGGAGGCAGCAGUGGGGAGUAUUACGCAGUGGGCGGAAGCCUGAUGCAGCAACGCCGCGUGCGGGAUGACGGCCUUCGGGUGAUAAACCGCUGUCGCCUGUGACGAAGCGUGAGUGACGGUAAUGGGUAAAGAAGCACCGGCUAACUACGUG